rnacentral:lncRNA from 1 species
UUAGGGUGUUCAAAUUAACGAUCCACAACGUUAAAUAUGAUUUAGGGUAUACGCAUAUAAGAAUUCUGACAAUGACAGACGGAAUCCAAAAAUCUAUACUAUAUAUAAAAAUGUAUAAGAAUUCCGAUAAUGACAGACGGAAUCCAAAAAAGAAUAAAAUAAUAUUCUCUACGAAUUGUUAUGAUUAAUUUGUUAAAAAUAUCUCAAAUAAAAACGAAUGAUUAUGAUCAACAAAUAGUUAUGAUCAAUUUGUUUAAAAACUAUCUCAAAAUAAGAACAGUGAUGAUUAAUCCAUUAAAAAAUAGCAUUUCUAUUUAUCUAUAAAUUCAUUCCUACAAAUCAUUAUAAUUAAUUUGUUAAAAAAUACCUCAAAUAAAAACAAACGGUUAUGAUCAAUUUGUUAAAAAAUAGUAUUUUUUAUCCAUAUAUUUUACAUUAAAAUUAGAAUUUGAGUUUAAAUUAUGAAUUAAAUUUAAUUUUUGAUAUCAAGUUUGAAUUAACAAUUAUUUUUUUUAUUAUAGUGGAUUAAAAUUAAAUUUUAAAGUAAACGUGAAUUAAAUUUUGAUGUUUUUAAUUUCAAACACAUAUUUAAAUUUGAUUCAUCAAAAAUUAAGAAGUAUAUAAAAAUGUUCGAUGUAUGUAAAAAAAAGAACACUGUAGGAUAUUGUAAAUAUUUUCUAAUAAAAUAUAACAUAUUAAUUUAUAAAUAUAAUUUUUAUUGUAAAACUUUGAAUAUAUAUAAUGUACAAAUUUAUAUUGAUUUGAAAUAAAUUAUAAUAAUUAUUAGUACAAUCAACUAGCGUGUGUGUGUGUGUGUAUAUAUAUAUAUAUAUAGUUGAGCUAGAAUACUAUCGAUAGCAAACGGGCUCCGUUGCCAUCCAUUUAUUUUCGAUGAUAGAGCCUCCAAAUCGACGAUCGGCACUGUUGAAUAUGAUCUAUCCUAUUUGAAGUAUUUAGAAAUCAAAUUUCAAAUCUUUUCGCCAUCAUUUGCCUAAUGAUCAAAGGGUUUCAAAAUUUGUAAUUUUAAUGGUU